UACAGAGGGUGCAAGCGUUGUUCGGAAUUAUUGGGCGUAAAGGGAGUGUAGGCGGCUUGUUAAGUCUUCUGUGAAAUCUACGGGCUCAGCCUGUAACGUGCAGAGGAAACUGGCGAGCUUGAGUGUCGGAGAGGAUAGGGGAAUACCCGGUGUAGAGGUGAAAUGCGCAGAUAUCGGGAGGAACACCAGUAGCGAAGGCGGCUCGCUGGGCCAUUCCUGACGCUGAGACGCGAAAGCUAGGGGAGCGAACAGG
rnacentral:rRNA from 1 species